rnacentral:rRNA from 1 species
AACAUUGCACAAUGGAGGAAACUCUGAUGCAGCGACGCCGCGUGAACGAUGAAGGCUUUCGGGUCGUAAAUUUCUGUCCUAGGGGACGAUAAUGACGGGACCCUAGGAGGAAGCCCCGGCUAACUACGCAAUAGCAGCCGUGGUAAUACGUAGGGGGCUAGCGUUGUCCGGAUUUAUUGGGCGUAAAGGGGUCGCAGGCGGCAUUUUAAGUCAGAUGUGAAAGACUGCAGCUCAACUGUGGUAAGCAUUUGGAACUGGAAGGCUUGGGUUAAGGAGGGGAAAGGGGGAUUCCUAGUGUAGCGGUGAAAUGCGUAGAUAUUAGGGGGAAUACCAGUGGCGAAGGCGACUUUCUGGACUUAUACUGACGCUGAGGAACGAAAGCGUGGGGAGCAAACA